rnacentral:rRNA from 1 species
GAUGAACGCUGGCGGCGUGCCUAAUACAUGCAAGUCGAGCGAACGGACGAGAAGCUUGCUUCUCUGAUGUUAGCGGCGGACGGGUGAGUAACACGUGGAUAACCUACCUAUAAGACUGGGAUAACUUCGGGAAACCGGAGCUAAUACCGGAUAAUAUUUUGAACCGCAUGGUUCAAAAGUGAAAGACGGUCUUGCUGUCACUUAUAGAUGGAUCCGCGCUGCAUUAGCUAGUUGGUAAGGUAACGGCUUACCAAGGCAACGAUGCGUAGCCGACCUGAGAGGGUGAUCGGCCACACUGGAACUGAGACACGGUCCAGACCCCUACGGGAGGCAGCAGUAGGGAAGCUACCGCUAUGCGCGAAAGCCUGACGGAGCACCGCCGCGUGAGUGAUGAAGGUCUUCGGAUCCUAAAACUCUGUUAUUAGGGAAGAACAUAUGUGUAAGUAACUGUGCACAUCUUGACGGUACCUAAUCAGAAAGCCACGGCUAACUACGUG